rnacentral:tRNA from 1 species
UGGGAUGUAGCUCAGUGGCACAGCACUUGCCUAAUUGGCAGCAGGCCCUGGGUUCAAUCCCCAGCAAUUUAG